rnacentral:misc_RNA from 1 species
UAUAUAAGCGUCCGCACAGCUCAAAUUUUCCGUAGAUUGCAUCAGCUCAUCGCACGUAACGUCGCUGAUCGUCUCUGUUUUUUCCUCGUCGUUCGCGCACCAGGAAAACAAACAUGCCGGAGGCCAUUAACGAGGCACCGCCCCGUCAAGGCGUGCAGUCCAACUUUGUAAAUCGACUCAGCGAACUGCCCGCCGUCACGAGUCUGUGGGAAACGGCAGCGCAGUCGUAUGCUCGGGCCAAAGCGAACCCGGGCCUGCUGGCGUACGCUAUUGGCACUGCCGAGAAAUCGGCGGCGAUGGCACUCGCCACUAGCAAGCCCGUGGUCGACAAGUUCGCCACGCCGAUCAGCAUCGUCGAUGGCUUGGCCUGCAAGGGGCUCGACAAGCUCGAAGAAGUCUACCCCGACGUCAAGAAGAAGGCGCACGACCAGAUAGUGACCGACGCCGUCCAGUACGGGCUCAAGAAGUACGACGACGUCAAGGAUUACGGCAUGUCUAAGAUCAGUGACAUCAAGAGUGUGUCUGCUGGAACAGUGCACAUGGUGGCGCAUCCUGUGGAGACUAUCUCUCAGUGCCAUAGUCAAAUCUUGGGCUAUGCCAAGCAAGCUCUUGCUGCUACUGAAGCUACAUUGGACCAGCACAUUGCAUCCCUUGGAAUUGACAUGAAGAAAGAAGGCAACGAGACUGUGCCUCCGGAAGAGGUGGCUCUGCUCACUCGACUGGACAGCAUCUCCCGCAAGGCAUCGACAUGCGCCUCGCGACACGCUGCCCUGCAACUGAGUGUGCUGCAGCGCUAUGCGGGCGACUCCAUCACCCGCUUCCAGGUGGCUCUGCAGCUAAUCCAGACUAUGAAGCAGAAUCUGGCUGCUAGCACCAACCAGUCAUUCCAGGAGACUCUGGCACGCAUGAGCCUCCAGUCUUCCUGGCUCCAGGGACUGCUGAGAGAGUCCACUGAUGAAGCUCAGGAGAAGAAUGUACAGGCCAUGGUGCUUGCUGUCGCUCGAAGUGCACUUGGUACGGCCAGUCGUGCCCUGGAGCAGCCCGCAGUCCUUGUUCGAGGCAUGUCCUCCCAGUUGCAGGAGUCCUACAGUCGGCUUCUCAACUCGACAUCAGACAUGCUGCAGACCUUGACGGGUGUUUCCAACAUCAGCGAGCUGACUGCAGUUACUCUCAACAACCUUCACCUGCAGUCCAUCCGGCUCGAGUACUCGAUCCGCCUGUUCACACACCAGGCACUGGAGUGGCUGACCACACUUCCUGUAGUGGAGCGCCUGUUGCCGACCCCCACCGAGAUGACAUCUUUUGGCUCUGACUCGACAAGAACCGUUGAAUCGUCUGAGGAAGAGUCCUCUGCGGAUGAAUCCCUGUAGUUGCACUUUUUCCUGUGUUUAUAUACGUAUCGAACAAAGCUUUUCUACGAGGGUGCACACUUGGCAUUUAUGGAAACCCAAUUUUGUCGGUGAGCUUGCCGACACAUUCCAUAUGUAUACUGUUACUUAAAUAAAGGUUUUUGCUUGG